AGUGAACGCUGGCGGUAGGCCUAACACAUGCAAGUCGAACUGCAGCACAGUAAGAGCUUGCUCUUACUGGUUGCGAGUUGCGGACGGUUCAUGAAUACUUCGGACUCUAUUUUUUCGUGGGGGCUAACGUAUGGAAACUUACGCUUAUACCGUAUACGACUUAUGGGUGAUAUCUGGGGAUCUUCGGACCUUGCCCGCUUGUUUGCUCCUUUGUCGGAUUAGCUAGUUGGCGGGGUAAAGGCCCACCAAGGCGACGAUACGUAGCUGGUCUGAGAGGAUGAUCAGCCACACUGGAACUGAGAAACGGUCCAGACGCAUACGGGAGGCAGCAGUGGGGAAUAUUGGAGAAUGGGCGGAAGACUGAGCAAGACAGACCGCGUGGGUGAAGAAGGAAUUCGGGUUGUAAAGCGCUUUUGUUGGGAAAGAAAAGCAGCAGGAUAAGACAACGAUGAUAUGACGGUACCAAAAGAAUAAGCACCGGCUAAAUUCGUG
rnacentral:rRNA from 1 species